AGCAGUAGCCACGGUAAAACGUAGGUCCCGAGCGUUGUCCGGAUUUAUUGGGCGUAAAGCGAGCGCAGGCGGUUAGAUAAGUCUGAAGUUAAAGGCUGUGGCUUAACCAUAGUACGCUUUGGAAACUGGGAAACUUGAGUGCAGAAGAGGAGAGUGGAAUUCCACGUGUAGUGGUGAAAUGCGUAGAUAUAUGGAGGAACACCGGUGGCGAAAGCGGCUCUCUGGCUUGUAACUGACGCUGAGGCUCGAAAGCGUGGGGCGCAAACAGGAUUAGAUACCCCGGUAGUCCCUGUCUCUUAUACA
rnacentral:rRNA from 1 species